rnacentral:misc_RNA from 1 species
AAGUCGUAACAAGGUUUCCGUAGGUGAACCUGCGGAAGGAUCAUCACUGAUUCGUCCUUUUCUUACCCCACACCUGUGGUAUAGCUCUAAGGCAUAUGCUGCGCCGGGCUGGGCCCGCCUGUCGGGUCCCGGCUGGGCCGGCUGUGCCUAUCUUUUCUUUCAACAUUCACGCGGUUUUUACAUGAUUAACACACACACACACAAACCAAAACACAACUUUUAACAACGGAUCUCUUGGUUCUC